rnacentral:rRNA from 1 species
AUUGAACGCUGGCGGCAUGCUUUACACAUGCAAGUCGAACGGCAGCGCGGGCUUCUUCCUUGCGUCGUGUUGCCAACGGGUGAGUAAUUCACCCGUACAUGCCCUACCUUUGAGGAUAGGCUGACUACAGCCGGCUUUAUAUCACAUCCGAUCUUAUUUUGAACCGGGUGGUCCGAAAGUCCUCGCCCUUUUUGCUCUCCCUAUUUGGUAUUAGCUAGUUGGUUUGGUAAAGGCUUACCAAGGCGACGAUCCGUAGCUGCUCUGAGAGGACGACCUGCCACACUGGAACUGAGACACGGCCCAGACUCCUACGGGAGGCAGCAGUAGGGAAUUUUGGACAAUGGGGGCAAGCCUGAUGCAGCAAUGCCGCGUGAGGGAAGAAGGCCUUCGGAUUGUAAAACGCUUUUGUUAGGGAAGAAAACAUGUGGGCUAAUACGCCGGGAGGAUGACGGUACCGGAAGAAUAAGCACCGGCUAACUACGUG